rnacentral:rRNA from 1 species
CUUUGAUUAUGGCUCAGGAUGAACGCUAGCUACAGGCUUAACACAUGCAAGUCGAGGGGAAACGACAUCGAAAGCUUGCUUUUGAUGGGCGUCGACCGGCGCACGGGUGAGUAACGCGUAUCCAACCUGCCCACCACUAGGGGAUAACCUUGCGAAAGUAAGACUAAUACCCAAUGAUAUCUCUAGAAGGCAUCUGAAGGAGAUUAAAGAUUUAUCGGUGAUGGAUGGGGAUGCGUCUGAUUAGCUUGUUGGCGGGGUAACGGCCCACCAAGGCGACGAUCAGUAGGGGUUCUGAGAGGAAGGUCCCCCACAUUGGAACUGAGACACGGUCCAAACUCCUACGGGAGGCAGCAGUGAGGAAUAUUGGUCAAUGGGCGAGAGCCUGAACCAGCCAAGUAGCGUGCAGGAUGACGGCCCUAUGGGUUGUAAACUGCUUUUAUAAGGGAAUAAAGUGAGCCUCGUGAGGCUUUUUGCAUGUACCUUAUGAAUAAGGACCGGCUAAUUCCGUGCCAGCAGCCGCGGUAAUACGGAAGGUCCGGGCGUUAUCCGGAUUUAUUGGGUUUAAAGGGAGCGUAGGCCGGAGAUUAAGCGUGUUGUGAAAUGUAGACGCUCAACGUCUGCACUGCAGCGCGAACUGGUUUCCUUGAGUACGCACAAAGUGGACGGAAUUCGUGGUGUAGCGGUGAAAUGCUUAGAUAUCACGAAGAACUCCGAUUGCGAAGGCAGCUCACUGGAGCGCAACUGACGCUGAAGCUCGAAAGUGCGGGUAUCGAACCGGAUUAGAUACCCUGGUAGUCCGCACGGUAAACGAUGGAUGCCCGCUGUUGGUCUGAAUAGGUCAGCGGCCAAGCGAAAGCAUUAAGCAUCCCACCUGGGGAGUACGCCGGCAACGGUGCAACUCAAAGGAAUUGACGG